UCGUACCUUUUGCAUCAUGACUUAGCCAGUACCCCUCGGGCAAAGCGCCCUAUAGUCCGAGACCCCGAAACUAAACGAGCUACUCCAAGACAGCCUAUUUAGGGCGAACCCGUCUCUGUCGCAAAAGAGUGGGAAGAUCUUCGAGUAGAGGUGACAAACCUACCGAGUUUAGUUAUAGCUGGUUGCCUACAAAACGAAUAGAAGUUCCGCCUUUAAUCUUUAUUCCCUCAAUAUAGCUUAUGCACAAUACUGACCCAAAGAAGCUUAAAGAGUCAUUCAAAGGGGGUACAGCUCCUUUGAAAAAAGACACAACUUUAUUUAGAAGGCUAAAGAUCACAGCAUUAAAGGAAACACACCUUAGUGGGCCUAAAAGCAGCCAUCUAUGCAAAAAGCGUUAAAGCUUAAGUACCCCGCCUUUCCCUAAUUUUGACAAUACAAUCUUAAACCCCUAAAUAUACUAGUAGGCCUUUUCAUGCAAACAUGAAAGAGAUAAUGCUAACAUGAGUAAUAAGAGGACUGAUCCUCUCCUAACGCCU
rnacentral:rRNA from 1 species